CCCCUUCGGAUUCCUUGUCCCUCAGAUCUAAAUAUUGGUCUGAGUGGCUAAAAAAGAAGUAAAACUGAAGUGGGCUUGGAGUCUUUCAUAACUUACAAGUUCAUCUCAAACAUAG
rnacentral:snoRNA from 1 species